UACGGGGGGGGCAAGCGUUGUUCGGAAUUACUGGGCGUAAAGGGCUCGUAGGCGGCCAACUAAGUCAGACGUGAAAUCCCCAGGCUCAACCUGGGAACUGCGUCUGAUACUGGAUGGCUUGAAUCCGGGAGAGGGAUGCAGAAUUCCAGGUGUAGCGGUGAAAUGCGUAGAUAUCUGGAGGAAUACCGGUGGCGAAGGCGGCAUCCUGGACCGGCAUUGACACUGAGGAGCGAAAGCCAGGGGAGCAAACGGG
rnacentral:rRNA from 1 species